CCAAGUUGGAACUUUAUUUCCAUUCUCUGAAAUUGGGAUGAGUUAUCAUGCAUGUCUCAGAACUUUUGAAAGUUCAUCCCUUGCCCGUUGCCUGACUUCCAGUUACAGGGGCUGAGCCUCCAUUAGACUGCUUAACAGGAACAACCAUGGCAAGCUGUGUCUCUGUCAGCUAUGAUUGCUAAUCCCUGAAUAGCCCUGAUAAGAGUUCACCUGGAUGAUGAAUAUACCUUGAAGUGUAGGUUUUUAUGUAGACAUUUUAUUUUUAUUUUUUAAAAGAUUUUAUUUUUAAGUAAUCUCUACACUCAACAUGGGGCUCAAACGUGCAACCCCAAGAGUCGCAUGCUCUACCAACUGAGCCAGUCAGGCACCCCUUAAUAAAAGUAAGCUCUACACCCUGUGUGGGGCUUGAACUCUUGACCCCAAGAUCAAGAGUUAACAUGCUGUACUGACUGAGCCAGCCAGGUGCCCCCUUAUGUAGAAAUUUGACAUUAACCUAGUGUAGCUUCCAAUCUUCAGUGUAUAGUGGAAAAGAAAAAUGUCCCUGAAUUUCAGACGAUCGCUACCCCCAAGAAACUGUGUAUCAAAUGUUUCAUUCCAAACCAUGAUCUGUGCACAAUAAAGAUGUAAACUGUUCACUAAUGA